UGUAAAUCACCAACAGGCAGGACGGACGCAGGAGGGGAGGCCGAAGGAAGAGGAGGGGGAGGUGCCGUCGGCCACCGGACGGGCCAAGACGAACCCCAGCCCAAAGGAGGGGGGGCGGGGCAGCGCAGAACCCCCAUUGGCACAACAGCCGAGACUAACCAGGGUGGCAGAGCUGUUGGGACAGGCUGGGGAGGCAGAGCCGGCGGAGGGUCGGUAGCCGGGACAGGGCGCCAGGGCGGACACUCCUCCACGGGCUCAGGCGGAUCGGGCCAUUCCUCCACGGGCUCAGGCGGCAGAGGCCACUCCUCCACGGGCUCAGGCGGCAGAGGCCACUCCUCCACGGGCUCAGGCAGCAGAGGCCACUCCUCCACGGGCUCAGGCGGCAGAGGCCACUCCUCCACGGGCUCAGGCGGCAGAGGCCAUUCCUCCCCAAACUCGGGAGGCACGGGCUGCCGCUUCUGGCAAAUAGGAGGCACGGGCUGCCGCUUCUGGCUGGUAGGAGGCGCUGGCUGCUGCUCCAAGGCAGCAGGGGGCGCUGGCUGUCGCUGCUGGCAGGUUGGAGCCGCUGGCUGCCGCUCCAAGGCAGCAGGGGGCGCUGACUGCCGCUGCUGGCAGGUAGGAGGCGCUGACUGCUGCUCCAAGGCAGCAGGGAACAGUCGGCGCCGUGGCGCAGGCACCGAACAUAGAGGGGGCGCCGUCGGGACUUCCCUCGGGCACCCACUCAGCCCCCCCCCUAAAAAUUUCCUGGGGGGACCUCAAUUCAGGAGGGGACCACGGACCGGGUGUUGGGCACCUCGCCCUCCUCUUCCUUCGGCCUCCCCUCCUGCGUCUCGUCCGUCCUGCCUCCUGCAAGUCCUGCAGGAGGCCUUUAACCAGCUCCUGCUUGGUAAGGGGCUUGACCACUCCCCAUUGGUCCAUGCCCCACAGCGAUCCCCCAAACCCUUCUUGGGGCAAUCCCCAGCAUUGCUCCUCAAGGGGCUCCUCCUCCACUCUCCCAUACACUGUCUCCUCGUCGUCAGAGGAGAGGGAGUCAGAGCCCCAAUCGCCCCUCCAGGUAUAAACCCUCUCUGGAGGGACUGCCUGCUGGUUCCGAUUGUGGUGGAUCAUUCUGUAACGAAUGUGGUGUUGUAG
rnacentral:lncRNA from 1 species